rnacentral:rRNA from 1 species
GCUGGCGACCAUAGCAAGAGUGAACCACCUGAUCCCUUCCCGAACUCAGAAGUGAAACCUCUUAGCGCUGAUGGUAGUGUGGGACUUCCCAUGUGAGAGUAAGUCAUCGCCAGCU